rnacentral:rRNA from 1 species
UCGAGGAUCUUCGGCAAUGGACGAAAGUCUGACCGAGCGACGCCGCGUGUGCGAUGAAGGCCUUCGGGUUGUAAAGCACUGUCGAGGGGGAGAAAAGCGCAAGCUUGAUCUAUCCCUGGAGGAAGCACGGGCUAAGUUCGUGCCAGCAGCCGCGGUAAGACGAACCGUGCGAACGUUAUUCGGAAUCACUGGGCUUAAAGGGUGCGUAGGCGGGUUGCCAAGUCUGUGGUGAAAUCCUCCAGCUUAACUGGAGAACUGCCGUGGAUACUGGCGACCUCGAGGGGGGCAGGGGCUUGCGGAACUGUGCGUGGAGCGGUGAAAUGCGUUGAUAUGCACAGGAACUCCGGUGGCGAAAGCGGCGAGCUGGACCCUUACUGACGCUGAGGCACGAAAGCCAGGG